rnacentral:piRNA from 1 species
UCAAAACCUAACACCCAGAUGAAAGGAUGA